CCUACGGGAGGCAGCAGUGAGGAAUAUUGGUCAAUGGACGAGAGUCUGAACCAGCCAAGUAGCGUGAAGGAUGACUGCCCUAUGGGUUGUAAACUUCUUUUAUAUGGGAAUAAAAUGUUCCACGUGUGGGAUUUUGUAUGUACCCUAUGAAUAAGGAUCGGCUAACUCCGUGCCAGCAGCCGCGGUAAUACGGAGGAUCCGAGCGUUAUCCGGAUUUAUUGGGUUUAAAGGGAGCGUAGGUGGAUUGUUAAGUCAGGUGUGAAAGUUUGCGGCUCAACCGUAAAAUUGCAGUUGAAACUGGCAGUCUUGAGUACAGUAGAGGUGGGCGGAAUUCGUGGUGUAGCGGUGAAAUGCUUAGAUAUCACGAAGAACUCCGAUUGCGAAGGCAGUUCACUGGACUGCAACUGACACUGAGGCUCGAAAGUGUGGGUAUCAAACAGGAUUAGAUACCCCUGUAGUC
rnacentral:rRNA from 1 species